rfam:Octopus bimaculoides Scaffold16615_contig_34, whole genome shotgun sequence.
GUUUCUUGGCUUAUUGACUCAAUUCAAAGAGUAGUGUCUGUUCUUAGCUUAAUAUCUGACACAAUCCUUAUUUGGGGCCAUCAGUGUUAAACUGGUUUUUAGAACUAGAUGAGCGAGGGACUUCUUUCACUUUGCCAUGAGUUGGCCUGGUAUUUCAGUACUUCCAGGAUUCAUAAGAGCACAAAUAUU